CUGGGGGAGUGUCAGGGGCGGGGUUCCCGUGUUGCGCUGUGGAAAAUUGUUAGGGGGAUGCACUGUGAUAAACGUGCGCUCUGUGAUUGAUAAUAGCGACAAUAAGGCAGAAAAGGGAAUCCGACUGACUGUCCAUUCACCGAGGACCGGGUCUGAGCGGCACCGGCCGGAAAAUGGAUGAGUCUCUUUCGGCACGGGAGGGAAACGGGCUUGGGAUAAACACGAUCUGGUUUUUUGCAUCUUGCACCACAGUCAACCCCACUUGGACCAGAAAUGGGACUGGAUGCCAGAGGCGGACCCAGGAGAGGACACAGGAUCCUAUUGUGCAUUACAAAGAAGAUCUAUUUUUCCCCGGGCCUGUGUUUGGAGGAUGGUUGAUGACUUCCACAAAUCCCACCACUGUUGAUGAGGUUUCUCCGAGAAAAGCGGCAAACUCCUCCUCUCUGGUAACACACUGUCUGUCCACAUAACUAAGAUGAAUAACUACAGUGAUGAGUGCAUGUCCUGUUUAUGAGCAUGUUUUUUUUUUUCUCCCACGGGAUUUCACAAGUUAGCCAAAGGAUCUUUUCGAUCCAGCUAAAGAUCGAGUUUUUUUUUUUUUUAAAUAUAAUGUACACUGAAUCAAACUAUAAAAUCUGACCAAAAUGAUUAACUGAAACUUCUGAAGUAGACACAAGAGCCCUCUCCUUUGAUCCCAAAAAGGCACAGUUCAAGCCUCUGGCACGACAGCAGACCAGAGCACAACAAAACAGUGGAGCCACAUUUUAAUAUGGGGCUUUUCUCUGUGCUGGUCCACACCCCUGCCAGGAUAAUGGCUUGGCCCUUCACUGCUGCCAUGACAGUGAAUGAAACCACUAAACUUGUACUUUACGGAACAAAAACUAGUACUUAAUAAAAUGUGAAGAAUGCUUUGAGGUAAUUCUUUUGAACAGAGGCUUUUCUCCUUUACAAUCUGCUGUGUUGUGCAAUGCAGCCCAAAAUGACUUGGACAAGUAUUUUCAGAUCUGGUGGUGACAGUUUGAUAUAAAACAGUGGUAACCUGUGAAGACCACUUCUAGUGUUUUAUGGGGGCAUUCUUUUCAACAGUGACUGCUUUAUCAGCCUUCUCCACUCAUCAAAUUAAUAGUUAACAUGCUUGUACAGGUUUCUGCUCCACUGGCUUAUUGAGCUCAUGUAGUUACAGAUUCAAAGUUAAAAACAGGUUCAUCACUUUGCUGAGAACUUCCCCUCACUAUUGAUAUGGUAGUUCACAUUACACAGUUCAUUGAUGGAAGGUACUCUAUUGGAUUCUUUUCUCAUGGAAAAAGGUUUCCCAUUAUUAGACACAGCUUCCAAAACGAGCCCCAGAACAAUAGACAAUGUAGAAAAGAAAGUCAGGAGGCGAAGAAUGCAGCUGAUUGUAUCUUUAGCAGUCGCCA